GGGUGUAUAGCUCAAUUGGCAGAGCACCGGACUCUUAAUCCGUUGGUUGAAGGUUCGAUUCCUUCUACACCUA
rnacentral:tRNA from 1 species